UUUACUCUCGGUUUGGUCGGUUCGUUGCUCUUACAAUGGUCCGGUGAGCCCUCUGAGCCGUCUGAGCUUUCCUUUCGUGGAGAACGAGUUCCUUUUAACUACAGCACAAGUUUUCCAAAGUCACUCUCGAGUUAAUAUAAAACACAAUGUGAACGAGAGCUCUUUGAAAAUUGUGUUUUACAUAAUAAUUUGCAUUUCCCUUGUGCCGACCGAUAUUCAUGAGUGGCGAGUUUUAGUGCGGAGUGCACUUAAAUUUCUAAACCGUAUUGUCGAAGACGAGAUACAUAAGUAAGAUAGGGAAAAGACAUUUCGCUCUCGAGAAAAGGGAAACAUGCCAUGAUAUCGGAAAGCAAGAUGAAAGUAAAGAAACAGAGAAACAAACAAAUAUAACGAGAAUGUGUACUAUUAAUUUAAAGAA